rnacentral:lncRNA from 1 species
UUUGUUAUUUUUAUUUAAAAAUAUAUGUUUACCUAAAUAAAAACAUUUUAUUAUGUCAUUAUUUUACAUUUUUCAAUACUGGUAGUGAGAUUUAACAUAUGAGUUUUUUUUUUAUGUUUUAUAUAUUAAUAUUUAUUUUAUUUCUUACUCUCUUUGAAAUCUAUUUCUAAUUAUGUAAAACAGUAAACUUUACCUAGUAUGGAUCCAAUCGGACUACUUGACCGGUUCAUGGUUGUACCAACUAUAAACGUUCUAGGAUCGAUCCGCGCUUAGCACAUAAUAUAACUUACGUAUGAUUUGUAUGACAAUUUUAUUGUGUAUUUUGAUUGCAUGUGUUUUGUGUCAGCAUUUGCAACAGAAAUGUAUUAGAAUGUUUAUAGUUGUUAAGAAUCUUUAGGUGUGGAGAGAUUAUGUAGAUUAAAUUUAUUACAUUUUAUUUUAAUGUUUGUGUUUAGAAGUCGUUGCGUAUAAUAUAUUAUUUUUGUGGAUAUAUUGUGUUACAUAUAUUUUUCAAAUUAAAAUACAACUAUUUUAAUCGAAUUUAACCAAAUCGAACUAAUUGUAUUCAUUGUAUUAGUGUGAGUAUUCAUCUUAAAUGUGUAAGUACACAUUUGAUUUUAAAAACAAUUUGGUAUAUGUUAAUUUGUAAAACUAAAAUUAGAAUAAAAAAAGAUGAUCGGUACAAAGUAGCAUAAAAACAUAAUUGAUAAAAAAAAUUAUUAUUUAUUUACUUUAACGCCAAGAUUAUUUUCUUAAUUUUUUUACGAAAUCACAUUAAUAUAUAAAAGUAUUUAUGUUAAAUUUUAUGAAUUAUUUUAUUAUAAAAUUGACUUCAAAAAUAUAAAAAGGAAACUUAAGUAGAAAAAAAUAAUAUUGAUUAUUCAUUGAAUAUUAUUUUCUGUUAUUUAAACUAUUUUCUAAUAAUUAUAAAAAAAAGAUUUUAAAAUAAAAUGUUUAUUACUUUAAAAUAUAUUAUUUUUAAUUUUCUUAAAUGGAAGAUUAUUAAUUUAAUUUAAAAUAAAAUAUUAUUUUGUAAAUUUUCCUUUUUAUGAAUCAUAUUAUAUUUAAAAUAUAUUUUCGUUUUAAAACAUUAUAAAUGUUAUUUAUUAUAUAAAGAAUUGGAAACAAAAAUAAAAAGGAAAAACAAAAUAUUUUUAAUAAAGCAAUUAGAUAUAUUUAACUCAUUAAGAGUACCACUGUAAUCAACCAUCGUGAGAGUUAACGUAAGCGCGACACAUAUGAAACAAAAUUUUCAAAUAAUAUUAUAGAGAUAUUAUACAAAAGAGGAAAGUAUCUAGGCAAUUUAGGCUUGUUGGAGUUGGAGUUUUCAAAAAAAAAAAAAAGGCUUGUUGGAUAAACGAACUAUGGUUCUGGAUAAAUGUGUCCGGACCUAACACAUGCACAAUGUAUAACGAACCAUUUUAUUUCACAAACGUUACACCACGCCAUGACACCGAAGAUUAUACAAACAACGAAAAACAUUUACUUUAUUAACGCCACAAACUCAAAACGUA